AUUUUUACCUUUAGAUAGUGCUUUCAAGUUGACAGUAAUAUUUUUUUAUUUCGAAAUUUUCAUAAUGGAUUUUGAAUUAAGUGAAGACGUUAAACAACGCAUAGAAAUAGUGCUUGAUCUUACAACUACAGCAUUUAACUUUGGCUACAUUCCCUUUAUAAUUUAUUUGGGUUGGAAAUUGGGUCCUGACAGCGGCUGUCGAAGUUUCCACUUCACACAUUUACUUUUUAACUACUAAAGGCGUCUUCGUAGUCUCGCGCCGGUGGACGAUGAUGAUAAGUGAGGGAUCCAUGCCUUACAAGAACUCCAGCACCUCUACCCCUCUCGUCUAUCAAGAAAAUUUCUGUGAAGAUGAUAAUGCCGAACACAGCAAAAAACAUCACCACAAUGAAAAAACUCAUGUUAGCCCUUUGUCGGUUGCGAAAGUUGAUGUACUUCUUCUUUCCCCCGCUGCUCGACCCCAUGACUUUUUAUCUGAAAACAGGUGCCAUUCUAAGUGUUAUGUGUCGCUCUGUUUAUUUAUAGCAAGUGAGGAUGAUAAGUUGAUAACUGUGACUCGUUUGCAACAAAAGCGUAUUCGUUUUGUGCACCAGAGAGUGAUCGAUUCUGUUGGCGCGUAAUCGGAAGACUAACUGUAAAUUGUGUGUUAAAUAAAUUUUGUGUGUUGUAGAA